GACGAACGCUGGCGGCGUGCUUAACACAUGCAAGUCGAACGGAAAGGCCCCUUUGGGGGUACUCGAGUGGCGAACGGGUGAGUAACACGUGAGUAACCUGCCCUUGACUUCGGGAUAACUUCAGGAAACUGGGGCUAAUACCGGAUAGGAAUCCUUGCUGCAUGGUGGGGGUUGGAAAGCUUCGGCGGUUUUGGAUGGACUCGCGGCUUAUCAGCUUGCUGGUGGGGUAGUGGCUUACCAAGGCUUUGACGGGUAGCCGGCCUGAGAGGGCGACCGGCCACAUUGGGACUGAGAUACGGCCCAGACUCCUACGGGAGGCAGCAGUGGGGAAUAUUGCACAAUGGGCGGAAGCCUGAUGCAGCAACGCCGCGGGCGGGAUGACGGGCUUCGGGUUGUAAACCGCUUUCAGCAGGGGCGAAGCUUGUGGUGACGGUACCUGCAGAAGAAGCACCGGCUAACUACGUG
rnacentral:rRNA from 1 species